UCUCAUCCAAGAUCACAUCAAACACCCUCUGAAGAUCAAGA
rnacentral:ribozyme from 1 species